rfam:Pseudomonas sp. BRH_c35 BRHa_1002385, whole genome shotgun sequence.
CCACUCUGAAGCGCAGGACGUGCUCAGGAUCAGGAUGAUCGACCACCGCCAGGAAGGCAGCCGGAAGGAUUCGGAUAGGUCAGAAAGAACCCGCUUCGGCGGGUUUUUU